rnacentral:rRNA from 1 species
CCUACGGGAGGCAGCAGUGAGGAAUAUUGGUCAAUGGACGAGAGUCUGAACCAGCCAAGUAGCGUGAAGGAUGACUGCCCGAUGGGUUGUAAACUUCUUUUAUAUGGGAAUAAAACGUGCCACGGGUGGGAUUUUGUAUGUACCAUAUGAAUAAGGAUCGGCUAACUCCGUGCCAGCCGCCGCGGUAAUACGGAGGCUCCGAGCGUUAUCCGGAUUGAUUGGGGUGAAAGGGAGCGGAGGUGGUUUGUUAAGUCAGUGGUGAAAGUUUGCGGCUCACCCGUAAAAUUGCAGUUGAAACUGGCAGUCUUGAGUACAGUAGUGGUGGGCGCAUUUCGUGUUGUCGCGGU